UACGUAGGGAGCAAGCGUUGUCCGGAAUCAUUGGGCGUAAAGCGCGCGUAGGCGGCCCCGUAAGUCCGCUGUGAAAGUCAAAGGCUCAACCUUUGAAAGCCGGUGGAAACUGUGGGGCUAGAGUCCGGAAGAGGCGAGUGGAAUUCCUGGUGUAGCGGUGAAAUGCGCAGAUAUCAGGAGGAACACCGAUUGCGAAGGCAGCUCGCUGGGACGUUACUGACGCUGAGACGCGAAAGCGUGGGGAGCAAACAGG
rnacentral:rRNA from 1 species